rnacentral:rRNA from 1 species
AUUGAACGCUGGCGGCAGGCCUAACACAUGCAAGUCGAGCGGUAGAGAGAAGCUUGCUUCUCUUGAGAGCGGCGGACGGGUGAGUAAUGCCUAGGAAUCUGCCUGGUAGUGGGGAUAACGUUCGGAAACGAACGCUAAUACCGCAUACGUCCUACGGGAGAAAGCAGGGACCUUCGGGCCUUGCGCUAUCAGAUGAGCCUAGGUCGGAUUAGCUAGUUGGUGAGGUAAUGGCUCACCAAGGCGACGAUCCGUAACUGGUCUGAGAGGAUGAUCAGUCACACUGGAACUGAGACACGGUCCAGACUCCUACGGGAGGCAGCAGUGGGGAAUAUUGGACAAUGGGCG